ACAUACCUGGUCAGGCUAGCACGCAGUGCCUGGCAAGCACGGGCGAAGUCCCCUCAAGGCUUACGCACGAGUUGGAUGCCCAUAAUAUGCUCC
rnacentral:tRNA from 1 species